rnacentral:rRNA from 1 species
CAAGUCGAGUGCGCAGUCUUCUGUAGCAAUACAGGAGAUCGGCGCACGGCGCACGGGUGCGUAACACGUGGGUAACCUGCCCUCCAAAGGGGGAUAACCCGCCGAAAGGCGGGCUAAUACCGCAUGACAUACCGGUGGCUUCGGCCGCUGGAAUCAAAGCCCGCAAGGGCGUUGGAGGAGGGGCCCGCGGCCGAUUAGCUUGUUGGCGAGGUAAUGGCUCACCAAGGCUUUGAUCGGUAGCCGGUCUGAGAGGAUGGCCGGCCACACUGGAACUGAGACACGGUCCAGACUCCUACGGGAGGCAGCAGUGGGGAAUCUUGCGCAAUGGGCGAAAGCCUGACGCAGCGACGCCGCGUGGGGGAUGAAGCUUCUCGGAGUGUAAACCCCCUUCGACCCGGACGAAACGCCCGCAAGGGCUUGACGGUACGGGUAUAAGAAGCCCCGGCUAACUACGUGCCAGCAGCCGCGGUAAGACGUAGGGGGCCAGCGUUGCUCGGAAUUACUGGGCGUAAAGGGUUCGUAGGCGGUGCGGUAAGUCGGAAGUGAAAUCUCUGGGCUUAACUCAGAGGCUGCUUUCGAAACUGCCGUGCUAGAGUGCGGGAGAGGCGAGUGGAAUUACAGGUGUAGCGGUGAAAUGCGUAGAUAUCUGUAGGAACACCCGUGGCGAAGGCGGCUCGCUGGACCGCAACUGACGCUGAGGAACGAAAGCUAGGGGAGCAAACAGGAUUAGAUACCCUGGUAGUCCUAGCCCUAAACCAUCAGGACUUGGGGUGGCCCGCGUUGGCGGGUCGUCCCGGAGCUAACGCGUUAAGUCCUGCGCCUGGGGAGUACGGUCGCAAGGCUGAAACUCAAA